CGCGGCACGGGCAGCUGUGCCGCGUCACCUAGUGUGCUAAGCGCUGGAAAUAGAAGGUCUCUGGUGACAGCAGGCUUACCUAGGUAUAAGUACUUGAGUUCUGGACAACAAGGGGUUCCCAGCGCCAAGCGGCCAGAAAGGGCUACGUCUGAUUAAAUGCUCUAUAUUUGGAUGAUGACUGAACUAAAUCAUUCAGUGACCGGGACACUAAGACCCUAUAAACACCACUCAAAGCUUCGUAAUUGGCUGUAAAGAAAAGGAACAGGGUAGGAAAUGUAAUAAAACCCCACCUUAACAUCAGAGUCUUCAGCUCAACUUCCUCUCCUGUUGCCACAUCCCAUUUUCAUCUGACAGAGCAAAUGGCAAAGUACAGCCUGGUGUUUCCUAUGCACAGCUAAUUCAACUACUUAGCCCCGGACAAGAGAUGCCAUGUGCUAGAGUUAAUUCAGCAAGACACUCCAUAAAGACAGACGAUUAAGUCCAUACAGUCAUAAAGCCAGGAAUCAAGCUUCAGGGCAUGAACACAGACUCAAGCUUGCACUUUACCCAUUUUCAUUAUCUGAAAACUGUAUUGAUAAUUUCAUUGCCUUGUUGCCUACUUCAAAACUUGCUACUCCAUUUUAAACAAUUAAUAUUUUCUACUAAUAUCUCACUAACAUGAGAGAAUAACAGUCUUAAUGUUGUGCAGUAUAUCAAUUUAAACACACUCUUUUGUGAAAAUGUUGUGUGUUUAUUUAUGUCCAUGUUGCUUUUCAGAUGUUGCCUUUCAGUUUUAUUUCUCAAAAAAGAAAAAGCCUCCCCUCACUGGCGUAUGGAAGCACUAAAAUAAUUGCUAGGCUGAACAGGAAAGUUAAGCCUCUGAAGAAUUAUCAAAGGCACAGGGGAUAAAAAGUUGCAGCCAUAUAUAAUAUUUCUAUCCCAAAGUUGGGAAUCCUGCCUUUAGAGGACACUACAUUUAUUUCAGACUACGUCAUACCCCUCACCCCCAACAGGAACAGAAUUAGUAUUCCUUAUUUUAGAUUUUAAAGACAGUAUUUACAUAAGAGUUGUACAACGCAGAAAUUCAAAAACUGGUCUUAGUAUCUUAUUGUAGUAACAGCCUUCCUCCAACAGUAAAAACACAAACUUAAGUUCUGGAUCAUAACAAAUCUCCUCUUUAAAAACUGGAAAGAAAAAAAAAAAAGUACAGUUGCAUGUCCUAUAUGAAACCUUUCAAACAAAAAUGAGUAUUAAAACAAGAGUAUAAUUUUAAAAGCUGUGUAUUGGAGUGUUUAUAAACCAGAAGUGUUAAGCAGCAGCGGUUUCCGGUUUCUUAUUAAAUUCAACUAGACUUGGAAUUUAGAAACACGUUACAAACCAAUGUGGAGCUAUACUACUUACACACCUUUCCAGGUGUUUCAGUAAAGAAAGCCUCCUAUGAGAAUAAACAGAGGCAGCACAUUAUAUUAAGUCAAAACUUGCCUUCAACAUGCCAUAAAGAACUGCAUCAUAUAUUCAUUUAUCACCAAAGCACCUCCUAAGAGAUGCAUUAUUGCUGUAGAACAUUUCAAGUUUACCAACACCCAAGUGCAACCAAACUGAUGUAUAUAUGCACUUGCCCAUUCUCACCAGUAUUUCCACUUAAUGGUUUUUCCUUUAAACAAUCAAAUUUAAAGCUUUGAAAAAUAACAAUUUUUUGAUUUUAGGUUUUUCUUUUUUUUUUUUUUUCACAAUAUUAAUCACCACAUGCAAUUUAGUUUUCUGGUAAUUUUUCUAAAAAACUGCACCAAUAUCAGAACAGUGCAAAUCAUAUUUAAUUGUAAAAGUUAUAAUGGCUUGAGUUCAUAAUUAGAGGGAACACUGUCAGGAUAUUGGUAUUUUGCUCACUCACCAUUGCUUGCAUUCCAUUAAAGACUUUCCUGUCAAUUUCGCUUUUUUUUUUUUUCCUCUUAAAAUAGUCAUCCCCCAUGCUUUUAUCAGAGUUGAAAUUAGGGAUUUAAUCCACAAUUUCAACACACAUAGCACCUCAGUUGCAAUGUUUUCAUGCACUUCCAUCUACUGUUACAAUUCCAUAAACGUAUUAUCCCCUGCAAUACGUUUCCAGACUAAGAACUAGUCAUUAAGCACUUGUGAUCCAACAAGUGUUUUAAGAUUUUCAGCAAUGGAGAGAUUUCAAGAUUAAGAAAUCUGAGGACUUCCCCUCUCCUACAGCCCCCAGUGUUUCAUUACAUAGCAAAUUCAAAAUUGGUUUCCACAUCUUGACAGUGUUCCUUAUAAAACCGUAUGACAGUAAAAGUGCCAGUAGGCAUGGCAACCUCUUUGAAGGGAGCAUUUAAACUCCUUGGCACUGGGAAUGCCAGCACCAAGGAUUACAUUGAAAUUCAAAGUUAUACUUAAGGCUACAAUUAGAAAACCCACUUUCCAUAAGCCUAAUUUCUCUAAGUAGAUUUGAAAAUUCAGAAGCUAAUGCAACGUUAAGUUUUACGCUCGAAUUUGAGGAAGAAAUAAGAAAUUUCUUUAGCAAGGGCAGUAUAUGAAACUCUGGUAGCAAAUGUCUCUUAGGCAUUGACUACUCAUUUCACCAUCGUUCACUUACUUUGUCUUAAAGUUCAAAACUGGCAAGGCACAUUUACAUAUUCCAAUGAAUACUUGACAAUUUUUAAUUACACUUUAUGUCCCAGCUAUCCCAGUAAUUGACAUACAACAUACUAAAAUGGUUUAUUAAGAUAACAAAAAAAAAAAAAA